rnacentral:rRNA from 1 species
AGUGAACGCUGGCGGUAGGCCUAACACAUGCAAGUCGAACGGCAGCACAGUAAGAGCUUGCUCUUACGGGUGGCGAGUGGCGGACGGGUGAGGAAUACAUCGGAAUCUACUUUUUCGUGGGGGAUAACGUAGGGAAACUUACGCUAAUACCGCAUACAACCUACGGGUGAAAGCAGGGGAUCUUCGGACCUUGCGCGUUUGAAUGAGCCGAUGUCGGAUUAGCUAGUUGGCGGGGUAAAGGCCCACCAAGGCGACGAUCCGUAGCUGGUCUGAGAGGAUGAUCGGCCACACUGGAACUGAGACACGGUCCAGACUCCUACGGGAGGCAGCAGUGGGGAAUCUUGGACAAUGGGCGAAAGCCUGAUCCAGCCAUACCGCGUGGGUGAAGAAGGCCUUCGGGUUGUAAAGCCCUUUUGUUGGGAAAGAAAAGCAGCAGGUUAAUACCCCGCUGUUCUGACGGUACCCAAAGAAUAAGCACCGGCUAACUUCGUG